UCAGAUAUAUCCCUUCACUCCCAGAUAGAAAAAGCUUUAAAGCUAGCAACCCAUUUCAUAAGGAUCACCGGAGAGAAGAGCCACAGGGAGCCAGUAACACCUCGACCCUGGAGACUGUGGGACCAUGUGCACCAGGUUCACAGAGUUUAUCUUCCCUCCAGAGGGACCAUGAGGAACCUGAACAGGGCCGGACAUGCACACCUAAGUGACAAAGGAAAAUUUAAAAGGCCAAACCGCCUCUUGCUGCACAAACUUUAUGACAAAGAAAAAAAAAAACACAAAGCACAUCAUUACUCCUCAAAUCAGCAAGUUACUGCUAGAUCCACUCUUUCCAGUAGUAUAAUAAGCAUGACAAAUGUUAAUGCAAUCAAGCCUUGUUAAGCCCUCCGCCAUCUCCUCAAAGCAGCUUCAAGAGGCUCCUUGCUUGACUCAAGACUGGACGGCUCCUCCUGUUUCCACACACUGUCUCCAGGCCACCUGCUACCACACAAUCCAACAAUUAUGUCCACUCUAGUAGCACAGCGUUUGUCAGCGGGAAUACUGGGGGGGAUCGUGAGGCUGGAUAGCUCUGCUUUACGGCGGCCAACAACGGCUGUGCAGGCAGCACGUAGCUAGCACCGAGACAGGAGAGCAUCAGAAUGUUUAGCUACCACAUGCUGCUGCAGGGUUCAGAGAGGCGACCACCGGUAGAGAGCCACACAAAGUACAGGCCUCCUAUUAGCAUGGAUUUGAAACGCUACAGUUUGUACCAAGGUGCUCAUUAGCACAACACAGAGGGAGUGUAGUCGCGGUCCUCGGAGGGCUGCCUCUGUUCCCUUCAGCUUACCUUCCAUAUUCAAAUUUCCCCAAAUGCAUUUAAGUUCAAGGCCAGCUGCAAAUCUGUUUGAACAGCCCUUUUUUUUCCAGCAGUAGUGGAUUAGCUGCUUUUGGGGCUGUGCAGAGAGCCAGCAGAAAGGGGUUGGAGGAGCUGUUGGAGACAGGAGAGGAGAGUCAUGCAAUGUAUUUUACCUACCCUUGGGGUAUACAUUUCCCGCCUCCCUUGGCAUCAGAUGCAUUAAAAGAUCAAUGGCAGCGUACAGUGAGAUCAAACACUACACUUUUCACCAAUCUGGUAAACAAGCAGUAUUUUCUGAAAAAGUGAAGUACAUUCAGCUUGACCUAAAACACAUAGUCGAUAACUGUCUUUAAAAAUACAAAGGCAUACUCAUACAUAAUCUCGGCUAGAGAGUGUCUUGAAAAAGUAAUUUACGGUGACAUUUUGACAUAUUUUUAAAAACCUUAUCUGAAAUCGUCCCUGCACAAAAAGGCAUAGGUUUGCACUUUUCAUAAUAAUUACAAGAUAGUGAAAUGAACUGCGUUAUCACCAACUACAUUCUGCAUGUCUUUUUCAGAAACUUUAAAGCCUUAUUGAAGAGAAGAAUCGCAUUUAGUAGAAUGAGAUUUGCCAAUUAACGAGAGCGUCUUGCUGUUUCCCUAUCUGUCAGUCUGUGUUUUGGUGCCAAGGACAUUGACAGGUAAGGAAGACGCAUCAGUUCAGAUACAGUUCCAUUAGUAGCAGGAGGGGAAACACCUCUCCUCCCUCUCUGGUAAUUAGCAGUCACCAUAAUGACAUCUCAGCCAGACUGUGUGCCCCAAAAUGUAUUUCCAAUGGCCAGGAAGUGGGGGAAUGGCUUCCGUGCAGCCAGUCAAUUGCCCUGUUACAGUUAAGGAAUCCAGCAGGCUGGUACCACUCAUAUUUCAUCCCAGGUAAAGAUUACCUGUCAGGCCCAUGGGAGAUGUAUUGAUCUGUUUUCCUUUUUCCGCCAGCAAUCACCUGACAAAGGCACCUAAGAGGCGAGUGAAUGAGUGAUGCCCGGUCUCCCUGCUUCAGCGUAGUGGCUUCUAGUGUCCACUGAUGGGUGGAGAGGUGAUGAGGAAGAGGAGAGAUAAUGCAGUCAUAAACUCUGUUUGAACCUCCUCUGUAUGCAUGCAGGGCAGCCCCUUGGCCCUCUGGGUCACAGGUCAGUGGGGGAAUUAGCUUUUUUUUUUUUUGUGGCUCCUUUCUUGUCUGUAGCGUUUGUUCUGGCUGUUUAGUGUGUAGUGAUGAUAAAAAAAAAAAAAAAAAAAAAAAAACACAUGCAAAAGAGGCUCUCUGGUUCCUGCUGACAAAUGCAUGUUGCGAGUCACCGUAGUUCAACUCACUUUGGGUUUCAAAAGUGAUUCCUGUUUGAUCUGGGCACCCUUCUCACAAUGAAAUACAACCUUGUGUGGUCAGGGUUUCCUGUGAUUGUCAGUGUGGUGGCGCUACAUUAGCAAUGAUCAAUUUAUUUAACAUUAUCUCGUGUAUUUUGGCAGCUAAAAGUAUUUAUAUAUUUGCCUUGUUAAUGGAAUGUCA